AAUCACAAAUAUAUCUUAAAUAAAUCUCAAGCAAAUUCAAAUUUAAUUCUAGUUGAAAUCCUAAUAGACUUUAAUUGAAUCCUAAAUAAAUUCUAAAUCUUAAAUCAAAUUUUAAGCCCUAAACCAAAUCCUAGACAAAUUCUAAACUCUAAAUCAAAUCCUAGAUAAAUUCUAAACUCUAAAUCAAAUCCUAAAUAAAUCCUAAAUCUUAUACCAUAUCUUAAAUCAAAUCUUAGAUCCUAAAUCAAAUCCUAAAUCAAACUCUAUACAAAUCUUAAAUCCUAAAUCUUAAAUCAAAUCUUAAAUCAAACCUUAGAUCUUAAACAAAAUCCUAAAUCUUAAACCAAAUCCUAAGUCCUAAACCAAAUCUUAACCAAACUCUAACCAAUUCAAUCUAAUCCUAGUACUAUUUAAAACUUCAAUAUCUAUCCAUUAAAUUAUUCAUUUUGCCUAAAAAUUCACAUUCUUCUCAAAAACUUAAGUGGCAAUAAGCACACAAAAUUUGAAGAUAAUCACAAUUAUCAAAUAGAAGAAAAAUCCUAAAAUCCGCUUGAGUGUUGCCUAGCUUAUUAUUCCAAUCUAAAUAUUGAACUUCUAGCACCAAUAUCUCUUUAUUGAACCGUUCAAUUG
rnacentral:lncRNA from 1 species